CUAUGGAAAUGAUUUCUCUGCUCUCAACAGACUGAAGGCAACGUGGGACACAACAUCAGGAGGAAUACUGCUCGGAUUAACAAUAUCUAUGAUCUUAAUGGAAUAGAAGAAUAUAUUGAUAUUAGAAGUGCAGUUGAGGAUUUAAGGAUGAGUUUGUGUCCACUGUGGUUGGAGGUUUUUGUACGGCCACUUAAUGAGUUUGUAUCACUGUGGUGGACUUUUGGUGGAGGAACCAAACUCACCGUUGACUUGGGUGUGGUGCGGCCCACCCUGAGCCUCCUCCCCCCCUCCAGAGAGGAGCUGCAGCAGGGCAGUGCCACACUGGUGUGUCUGGCCAGCGGGGGCUUCCCCUCAGCCUGGAGGCUGGGCUGGAAGGUGGGGGGCAGCAGCAGCUCCUCAGGGGUGUCCCACAGCCUGGAGGUCCUGGGGGGGGACGCCCACUACAGCUGGAGCAGCACCCUGAGCCUCCCUGCAGACCAGUGGAGGAAGGCGGGCUCAGUGAGCUGUGAGGCCAGUCUGAAUGGACAGAGCCCUGUCACUCAAAGCCUGGACCCUGACCACUGCUCAGAGUAGAGCUUCAGCAACACUUCCUGUCUGGAAAUGAUGCUGCUUCUUUGAUAGAGAUCUUGAUGAAGCUACACAUCUCCUCUGCUAACAUAUUUCUGCACAUUUCACAGCUCUCUACUCUGUGUUUUAGUGUGAAUGUUGCUUUCUUAUACUAGUCUUCUGCAUGUUCUUCUUAAUGUUCAUCACUUUUCAUGUUAAACUGAAUUUUAUUAGUUUCACUCAAAGGAAACCAUUCAUCAAAAAUGUGGUAUGAACAU